rnacentral:rRNA from 1 species
UGGGGAAUAUUGCGCAAUGGGGGGAACCCUGACGCAGCCAUGCCGCGUGAAUGAAGAAGGCCUUCGGGUUGUAAAGUUCUUUCGGUAUUGAGGAAGGUUGAUGUGUUAAUAGCACAUCAAAUUGACGUUAAAUACAGAAGAAGCACCGGCUAACUCCGUGCCAGCAGCCGCGGUAAUACGGAGGGUGCGAGCGUUAAUCGGAAUAACUGGGCGUAAGGGGCACGCAGGCGGUUAUUUAAGUGAGGUGUGAAAGCCCUGGGCUUAACCUAGGAAUUGCAUUUCAGACUGGGUAACUAGAGUACUUUAGGGAGGGGUAGAAUUCCACGUGUAGCGGUGAAAUGCGUAGAGAUGUGGAGGAAUACCGAAGGCGAAGGCAGCCCCUUGGGAAUGUACUGACGCUCAUGUGCGAAAGCGUGGGGAGCAAACAGGAUUAGAUACCCUGGUAGUCCACGCUGUAAACGCUGUCGAUUUGGGGAUUGGGCUUAGAGCUUGGUGCCCGUAGCUAACGUGAUAAAUCGACCGCCUGGGGAGUACGGCCGCAAGGUUA